UAGGUGAGGCAGAAAUGCGUAACUGAUGGGAAACUGGUUAAAAUUCCAGUACCUUUGUUCAAUGCGAUGUGGGGACGGAGAAGGUUAGCUCAGCCGGGUGUUGGAUGUCCCGGUUCAAGCGUGUAGGCGUGUUGCUUAGGCAAAUCCGAGCGACUAAGCUGAGACGUGAUAACGCAACGUUCUUAGGAACGCCAAGUGAGCGAUACCAUGCUUCCAGGAAAAGCCACUAAGCUUCAGUUGAAUGAAGACCGUACCGUAAACCGACACAGGUGGGUAGGAUGAGAAUUCUAAGGCGCUUGAGAGAACUCAGGAGAAGGAACUCGGCAAAAUAGCGCCGUAACUUCGGGAAAAGGUGUGCCCUUUGUAUGUGUAGCGCCUCGCGCGUGAAGCAGAAUAGGGUUGCAAUGAAAUGGUGCUGCGACUGUUUAAUAAAAACAUAGCACUCUGCAAACACGAAAGUGGACGUAUAGAGUGUGACGCCUGCCCGGUGCCGGAAGGUUAAAUGAUGGAGUGCAAGCUCUUGAUUGAAGCCCCGGUAAACGGCGGCCGUAACCAUAACGGUCCUAAGGUAGCGAAAUUCCUUGUCGGGUAAGUUCCGACCUGCACGAAUGGCGUAACGAUGGCCACACUGUCUCCUCCUGGGACUCAGCGAAGUUGAAAUGUUUGUGAAGAUGCAAUCUCCCCGCGGCUAGACGGAAAGACCCCGUGCACCUUUACUGUAGCUUUACAUUGGACUUUGAUAACAUUUGUGUAGGAUAGGUGGGAGGCUUUGAAGUGGAUUCGCCAGAAUUCAUGGAGCCAACGUUGAAAUACCACCCUGAUGUUGUUGAGGUUCUAACCUAGAUCCAUUAUCUGGAUUGGGGACCGUGUAUGGUAGGCAGUUUGACUGGGGCGGUCUCCUCCCAAAUUGUAACGGAGGAGUACGAAGGUACGCUAGGUACGGUCGGAAAUCGUGCUGAUAGUGCAAUGGCAAAAGCGUGCUUGACUGCGAGACUGACAAGUCGAGCAGAUGCGAAAGCAGGUCAUAGUGAUCCGGUGGUUCUGUAUGGAAGGGCCAUCGCUCAACGGAUAAAAGGUACGCCGGGGAUAACAGGCUGAUUCCUCCCAAGAGUUCAUAUCGACGGGGGAGUUUGGCACCUCGAUGUCGGCUCAUCACAUCCUGGGGCUGUAGCCGGUCCCAAGGGUAUGGCUGUUCGCCAUUUAAAGUGGUACGUGAGCUGGGUUUAAAACGUCGUGAGACAGUUUGGUCCCUAUCUGCCGUGGGCGUUGGAAGUUUUCAGUGGACCUGCUCCUAGUACGAGAGGACCGGAGUGGACGCACCUCUGGUGUACCGGUUAUGACGCCAGUCGUAUCGCCGGGUAGCUAUGUGCGGAAGAGAUAACCGCUGAAAGCAUCUAAGCGGGAAACUCUCCUCAAGAUGAGACUUCCCGAGGGUUUAACCCUCCUAAAGGUUCGUCGAAGACUACGACGUUGAUAGGUCGGGUGUGGAAGCAUAGUGAUAUGUUAAGCUAACCGAUACUAAUUGACC
rnacentral:rRNA from 1 species